CCUACGGGAGGCAGCAGUGGGGAAUAUUGCGCAAUGGGGGAAACCCUGACGCAGCAACGCCGCGUGAGUGAGGAAGGACUUCGGUCUGUAAAGCUCUGUUAAUGUGGAAAAAUGGUAGUUGGUCUAAUAGGCCGAUUAUUUGAUGGUACACAUAGAGGAAGCACCGGCUAACUUCGUGCCAGCAGCCGCGGUAAUACGAAGGGUGCAAGCGUUGUUCGGAUUUAUUGGGCGUAAAGCGCGCGUAGGCGGACCUGCAAGUCAGAUGUGAAAUCUCGGGGCUCAACCUCGAAACUGCGUCUGAAACUACAGGUCUAGAAUCUUGGAGGGGGAAGGGGAAUUUCUCAUGUAGGGGUAAAAUCCGUAGAUAUGAGAAGGAACACCAGAGGCGAAGGCGCCUUCCUGGACAAGUAUUGACGCUGAGGCGCGAAAGCGUGGGGAUCAAACAGGAUUAGAUACCCUGGUAGUCCACGCUGUAAACGAUGAAUACUAGAUAUUGCAGGAUUUGACCCCAGCAGUGUCGUAGCUAACGCGUUAAGUAUUCCGCCUGGGAAGUACGGUCGCAAGCUAAAACUUAAAGGAAUUGACGGCUGAGAGAGCGAGACGACGACGAGGGAGGAGG
rnacentral:rRNA from 1 species